rnacentral:rRNA from 1 species
AAUCGUGCGGAGGCCUAACACAUGCAAGUCGAGCGCGCCUUUCGGGGUGAGCGGCGGACGGGUUAGUAACGCGUGGGAAUAUACCCUUUGGUACGGAAUAGCCUCUGGAAACGGAGAGUAAUACCGUAUGAGCCCUUCGGGGGAAAGAUUUAUCGCCAAAGGAUUAGCCCGCGUUAGAUUAGGUAGUUGGUGGGGUAAUGGCCUACCAAGCCUACGAUCUAUAGCUGGUUUUAGAGGAUGAUCAGCAACACUGGGACUGAGACACGGCCCAGACUCCUACGGGAGGCAGCAGUGGGGAAUCUUGGACAAUGGGGGCAACCCUGAUCCAGCCAUGCCGCGUGAGUGAUGAAGGCCUUAGGGUCGUAAAGCUCUUUCGCCUGUGAAGAUAAUGACGGUAGCAGGUAAAGAAACCCCGGCUAACUCCGUGCCAGCAGCCGCGGUAAUACGGAGGGGGUUAGCGUUGUUCGGAAUUACUGGGCGUAAAGCGCACGUAGGCGGAUCGGAAAGUUGGGGGUGAAAUCCCGGGGCUCAACCCCGGAACUGCCUCCAAAACUAUCGGUCUAGAGUUCGAGAGAGGUGAGUGGAAUUCCGAGUGUAGAGGUGAAAUUCGUAGAUAUUCGGAGGAACACCAGUGGCGAAGGCGGCUCACUGGCUCGAUACUGACGCUGAGGUGCGAAAGUGUGGGGGAGCAAACAGGAUUAGAUACCCUGGUAGUCCACACCGUAACGAUGAAUGCCAGUCGUCGGGUAGCAUGCUAUUCGGUGACACACCUAACGGAUUAAGCAUUCCGCCUGGGGAGUACGGUCGCAAGAUUAAAACUCAAUGAAUUGACGG